rnacentral:rRNA from 1 species
GACGAACGCUGGCGGCGUGCUUAACACAUGCAAGUCGAACGGAAAGGCCCUGCUUUUGUGGGGUGCUCGAGUGGCGAACGGGUGAGUAACACGUGAGUAACCUGCCCUUGACUUUGGGAUAACUUCAGGAAACUGGGGCUAAUACCGGAUAGGAGCUCCUGCUGCAUGGUGGGGGUUGGAAAGUUUCGGCGGUUGGGGAUGGACUCGCGGCUUAUCAGCUUGUUGGUGGGGUAGUGGCUUACCAAGGCUUUGACGGGUAGCCGGCCUGAGAGGGUGACCGGCCACAUUGGGACUGAGAUACGGCCCAGACUCCUACGGGAGGCAGCAGUGGGGAAUAUUGCACAAUGGGCGGAAGCCUGAUGCAGCAACGCCGCGGGCGGGAUAACGGCCUUCGGGUUGUAAACCGCUUUCGCCUGUGACGAAGCGUGAGUGACGGUAAUGGGUAAAGAAGCACCGGCUAACUACGUG